AUUGAACGCUGGCGGCAUGCCUUACACAUGCAAGUCGAACGGUAACAGGUCUUCGGAUGCUGACGAGUGGCGAACGGGUGAGUAAUACAUCGGAACGUGCCUAGUAGUGGGGGAUAACUACUCGAAAGAGUGGCUAAUACCGCAUGAGAUCUACGGAUGAAAGCAGGGGAUCGCAAGACCUUGUGCUACUAGAGCGGCCGAUGGCAGAUUAGGUAGGUGGUGGGAUAAAAGCUUACCAAGCCGACGAUCUGUGGCUGGCCUGAGAAGACGAUCAGCCACACUGGGACUGAGACACGGCCCAGACUCCUACGGGAGGCAGCAGUGGGGAAUUUUGGACAAUGGGCGCAAGCCUGAUCCAGCAAUGCCGCGUGCAGGAUGAAGGCCUUCGGGUUGUAAACUGCUUUUGUACGGAACGAAAAGCCCUGGGUUAAUACCCUGGGGUCAUGACGGUACCGUAAGAAUAAGCACCGGCUAACUACGUGCCAGCCGCCGCCGUAAGAC
rnacentral:rRNA from 1 species